CCUACGGGAGGCAGCAGUGAGGAAUAUUGGUCAAUGGGCGCGAGCCUGAACCAGCCAAGUAGCGUGAAGGAUGACUGCCCUAUGGGUUGUAAACUUCUUUUAUAUGGGAAUAAAAUGUUCCACGUGUGGGAUUUUGUAUGUACCAUAUGAAUAAGGAUCGGCUAACUCCGUGCCAGCAGCCGCGGUAAUACGGAGGAUCCGAGCGUUAUCCGGAUUUAUUGGGUUUAAAGGGAGCGUAGGUGGAUUGUUAAGUCAGUUGUGAAAGUUUGCGGCUCAACCGUAAAAUUGCAGUUGAAACUGGCAGUCUUGAGUACAGUAGAGGUGAGCGGAAUUCGUGGUGUAGCGGUGAAAUGCUUAGAUAUCACGAAGAACUCCGAUUGCGAAGGCAGCCUGCUGGACUGUAACUGACGCUGAUGCUCGAAAGUGUGGGUAUCAAACAGGAUUAGAUACCCCGGUAGUC
rnacentral:rRNA from 1 species